AUUACUUUAGUGCUAUACUAAGUUUUUAAAUAGGGAAUUUGAGUCCUUCAACUUUGUUCUUUUUUUUUUUUUUUGACAUACAUUCCUUUAAGAGGGAGGCAGAGGAAGAUUUGACACACAGAAGAGGAGCAGUUGAUGUGACUACAGAGGCAGAGAUUGGAGUGGUUUGUCCACAAACCAAGGAAUGCCAGCAGUAACCAGAAGCUAGAAAAGGACUUUUUCCUAGAGCCUUCAGAGGAAGCGGUCUUGUCAACACUUUGAUUUCAGCCCAGUGAUACUGACUUUGGAUUUCUGGUGUCCAGAACAGUAAAAGAAUAAAUUUCUGUUGCUUUUGGCUAUGAAACGUAGUAAUUUGUUGUAGCAGCCUUGGGAAACUAAUACAGAUGUCUUCCCCUUCUUCUGGAAAAGGACAUGUUGUAAAUUUCAGAAUGUUAUCUAAAAAUGUCAGUGUGACCGGGGGACUUUGAGUCAAAUCAGUGGUCAUGUACUAGAAAAUGUUAACAUAGAUCUUCAGUCAUGCUGAAGCUGCACACAGGCUUCUUCAGCUUAACUCAGGGUGGGUGAAGGGCUAUGAAUUUUGGGCAUAAAUACUGGAAUGAGUUUGUGUUGCUUUGAGCAGGUCUUUGGUGAUGACGCAACCUAUCUCCCUGUAACCUGGUUGCAGCAAGUAAACCCCAUAUUCUCCCAGUUUCUGCCUUUCAUCUUUGAUUGACCACAAAGGAUAGUAGCCAGACCAGACAAAAAUAAAAUCUUAACGUGAAA